UUGUUUUUCAUUAUAUGUGUGUAGUAAAACCUUAACAUCAUGAAACAUCUUCUAAUGGGUGUCUUCCAAGUUUGUUUAAAUGAAAGUCCUGGGGUUUAAACUGGCACCGCUCCAGGGGGCCUAUAUACAGGUGAGCGGCCUCAGGGCCAUCAUGGCCCUCUUGUUUUUGUUUGUUUGGUUUUUUUUUUCAAAUAAUCUUUGAACCAACAAUAUGCAUAACAGAAUUUUCAGUCUGUUUCUAUGAGCAUGAAUGUUGUAAACUACUUACACUGUUUGUGUAAUAUAUCGGACAUAACAUAACACGUGUAAUAACCUGUGUUAGUUUGCAAUAUUUCAUAUUUGACUACUCCUCUCAGCUGAAAUUUAACAUAACGUUUUUCUAUUUGGGACCAAUGUCGGAGCAAAUAUAAUGUGUAUAUAAAGUUCUAAAAUUGUUUUUCUACCAACUCAUUAUUUUUAUGCCCAGUCAUGAUGGUAAUUAUGCACCUCAAGAAAUAAAAUAGUUAUUACUAAAAA